rnacentral:rRNA from 1 species
AUACGGAGGGAGCGAGCGUUAAUCGGAAUUACUGGGCGUAAAGCGCUCGUAGGCGGCUUGUUAAGUCGGAUGUGAAAGCCCCGGGCUCAACCUGGGAACUGCAUUCGAUACUGGCAAACUAGAGUAUAGUAGAGGCAAGUGGAAUUCCGGGUGUAGCGGUGAAAUGCGUAGAUAUCCGGAGGAACAUCAGUGGCGAAGGCGACUUGCUGGACUAAUACUGACGCUGAGGAGCGAAAGCGUGGGGAGCAAACGGGAUUAGAAACCCCAGGUAGUCC